rnacentral:rRNA from 1 species
GACGAACGCUGGCGGCGUGCUUAACACAUGCAAGUCGAGCGGUAAGGCCCUUUCGGGGGUACACGAGCGGCGAACGGGUGAGUAACACGUGGGUGACCUGCCCUCAGCUCUGGGAUAAGCCUGGGAAACCGGGUCUAAUACUGGAUAUGACUCCAUGACGCAUGUUGUGGGGUGGAAAGCCUUGUGCGGCUGAGGAUGGGCCCGCGGCCUAUCAGCUUGUUGGUGGGGUGAUGGCCUACCAAGGCGACGACGGGUAGCCGGCCUGAGAGGGCGACCGGCCACACUGGGACUGAGACACGGCCCAGACUCCUACGGGAGGCAGCAGUGGGGAAUCUUGCGCAAUGGGCGAAAGCCUGACGCAGCGACGCCGCGUGAGGGAUGACGGCCUCGGUUGUAAC